ensembl:lncRNA
GGAACAGCAACCCCUCCCAGCCUCCCAGACUGUAGCCUAACACAAUGCCUGACAACAGCUCACAUUGAAGCACGGAGAGAUAUGUUUUAGUUAUCUCUCAUUCAGAGGUUAUGGAGGAGAUAGGAGAACAGAGAUAUAUGCUUUAGAUAUCUCUCCUUAAGAGGUUAUGGGGGAGAUAGGAGAACAGAUAUAUAUGCUUUAGAUAUCUCUCACUCAGAGGUUAUGGGGGAGAUAGGAGAACAGAGAUAUAUGCUAUAGAUAUCUCUCACUCAGAGGUUAUGGGGGAGAUAGGAGAACAGAGAUAUAUGCUUUAGAUAUCUCUCACUCAGAGGUUAUGGGGGAGAUAGGAGAACAGAGAUAUAUGCUUUAGAUAUCUCUCACUCAGAGGUUAUGGAGGAUGUAUGUUUUGUAUUUUUGUGUUUUUGUGCGUAAUAAUUGUGGAGAUUUUAGUCCGGGUUUUAUUCCCACUAUAUAAAGUACUAUACUCCCUUUAUAUAAUACUGUACUCCCACUAUUUAUAGUACUGUCCUCCCACUAUAUAUAAUACUAUACUCCCACUAUUUAUAGUACUGUCCUCCCACUAUACAUAGUACUGUACUCCCACUAUACAUAGUACUGCACUCCCACUAUAUAUAGUACUGUACUCCCACUAUAUAUAGUAUUGUACUCCCACUAUAUAUAGUACUGUACUCCCACUAUAUAUAGUACUGAGAAGUAUGAGGAGG